rnacentral:rRNA from 1 species
UACAGAGGGUGCAAGCGUUGUCCGGAAUUACUGGGCGUAAAGAGCUCGUAGGUGGUUUGUCGCGUUGUUCGUGAAAACUCACAGCUCAACUGUGGGCGUGCGGGCGAUACGGGCAGACUGGAGUACUGCAGGGGAGACUGGAAUUCCUGGUGUAGCGGUGGAAUGCGCAGAUAUCAGGAGGAACACCGGUGGCGAAGGCGGGUCUCUGGGCAGUAACUGACGCUGAGGAGCGAAAGCGUGGGGAGCGAACAGG